AUACGGGGGGGACGAGCGUUGUUCGGAUUCACUGGGCGUAAAGGGCGUGUAGGCGGAUUAGCAAGUCAGAUGUGAAAACCAGCGGCUUAACCACUGGCCUGCAUCUGAUACUGCUAAUCUUGAGUACGGGAGAGGAAGGUGGAAUUCCAGGUGUAGCGGUGACAUGCGUAGAUAUCUGGAAGAACACCGGCGGCGAAGGCGGCCUUCUGGACCGAUACUGACGCUGAGGCGCGAAAGCUAGGGGAGCAAACAGGAUUAGAAACCCUAGUAGUCC
rnacentral:rRNA from 1 species